UACGAAGGGGGCUAGCGUUGUUCGGAAUUACUGGGCGUAAAGCGUGCGCAGGCGGCUUCUCAAGUCAGGGGUGAAAGCCCAGAGCUUAACUCUGGAAUUGCCUUUGAGACUGAGAGGCUUGAGUACGGGAGAGGUGAGUGGAAUUCCCAGUGUAGAGGUGAAAUUCGUAGAUAUUGGGAAGAACACCGGUGGCGAAGGCGGCUCACUGGCCCGUAACUGACGCUCAUGCACGACAGCGUGGGGAGCGAACAGG
rnacentral:rRNA from 1 species